UGUAGUCGACUAAAACAAACGACCAAAAAGUUGGCGAUUCAUUUAGUUGUCGAUUAGCUGGUGACGUCAUUACUCGUCUUUCUCAAGGUCACUAGAAACGUUUUGACAUUAUUACCGCUUACUGGAGAGUUAGCUAGCUAACAACAGCGCGAUGACGACCUCAAGAACAAAUUCCUCAAAAGUGCGGGAGCAUUUCACGCUAAAUAAGGUUGUAGCUGUGCUGUAAAGCCGACCUUAGCUGGCGCGGGAGCACAUCCUCCAUGUGGAGUAUCUGAAGAGGAAACCUUUCGGUUCACUGGAUGAAGAAGAUUCAGCUCGAUUUGAAUUUGGAUCAUCUGUCUGCUUCUGUCCUGACCCUGUUAAUGGAUUAUGUUCCUGAUUAACUGAUGCCCCAGUAAACAAAGCCUCUCUAUUGUUCUACUGACUCUGGUUACAGUUGGCUGCAACUGGACUUCUUGAAUACCUUGAUCCAUCACAACAUUCACAGACCACACCUCUGGUCAUAACACUCACAGCAUACAAUAAAACUGCUAUAAUGUUGGCAGAGGGCUUGUUUGCAUGUGGUGCUACAAUAAAAAUUAACAAACCA